rnacentral:hammerhead_ribozyme from 1 species
AUCCAGCUGACGAGUCCCGAAUAGGACGAAAUGCGUAUCAAACUGGAU